CGGUUAAGUUAGAAAGGGCGCACGGUGGAUGCCUUGGCACUAGGAGCCGAUGAAGGACGGGACGAACACCGAUAUGCUUCGGGGAGCUGUAAGCAAGCUUUGAUCCGGAGAUUUCCGAAUGGGGAAACCCACUGCUCGUAAUGGAGCAGUAUCCAUAUCUGAAUUCAUAGGAUAUGAGAAGGCAGACCCGGGGAACUGAAACAUCUAAGUACCCGGAGGAAGAGAAAGCAAAUGCGAUUCCCUGAGUAGCGGCGAGCGAAACGGGAACAGCCCAAACCAAGAGGCUUGCCUCUUGGGGUUGUAGGACACUCUGUACGGAGUUGCAAAAGAACGAGGUAGAUGAAGAGGUCUGGAAAGGCCCGCCAUAGGAGGUAACAGCCCUGUAGUCAAAACUUCGUUCUCUCCUGAGUGGAUCCUGAGUACGGCGGAACACGUGAAAUUCCGUCGGAAUCCGGGAGGACCAUCUCCCAAGGCUAAAUACUCCCUAGUGACCGAUAGUGAACCAGUACCGUGAGGGAAAGGUGAAAAGCACCCCGGAAGGGGAGUGAAAGAGAUCCUGAAACCGUGUGCCUACAAGUAGUCAGAGCCCGUUAACGGGUGAUGGCGUGCCUUUUGUAGAAUGAACCGGCGAGUUACGAUCCCGUGCAAGGUUAAGUUUGAAAAGACGGAGCCGCAGCGAAAGCGAGUCUGAAUAGGGCGCAUGAGUACGUGGUCGUAGACCCGAAACCAGGUGAUCUACCCAUGUCCAGGGUGAAGUUCAGGUAACACUGAAUGGAGGCCCGAACCCACGCACGUUGAAAAGUGCGGGGAUGAGGUGUGGGUAGGGGUGAAAUGCCAAUCGAACCUGGAGAUAGCUGGUUCUCUCCGAAAUAGCUUUAGGGCUAGCCUCAAGGUAAGAGUCUUGGAGGUAGAGCACUGAUUGGACUAGGGGCCCCUACCGGGUUACCGAAUUCAGUCAAACUCCGAAUGCCAAAGACUUAUCCUUGGGAGUCAGACUGCGAGUGAUAAGAUCCGUAGUCGAAAGGGAAACAGCCCAGACCGCCAGCUAAGGUCCCAAAGUAUACGUUAAGUGGAAAAGGAUGUGGAGUUGCUUAGACAACCAGGAUGUUGGCUUAGAAGCAGCCACCAUUUAAAGAGUGCGUAAUAGCUCACUGGUCGAGUGACUCUGCGCCGAAAAUGUACCGGGGCUAAACGUAUCACCGAAGCUGCGGACUGUUCUUGCGAACAGUGGUAGGAGAGCGUUCUAAGGGCUGUGAAGCGAGACCGGAAGGACUCGUGGAGCGCUUAGAAGUGAGAAUGCCGGUAUGAGUAGCGAAAGAGGGGUGAGAAUCCCCUCCACCGAAUGCCUAAGGUUUCCUGAGGAAGGCUCGUCCGCUCAGGGUUAGUCGGGACCUAAGCCGAGGCCGAAAGGCGUAGGCGAUGGACAACAGGUUGAUAUUCCUGUACCACCUCCUCACCAUUUGAGCAAUGGGGGGACGCAGGAGGAUAGGGCAAGCGCGGUAUUGGAUAUCCGCGUCCAAGCAGUUAGGCUGGGAAAUAGGCAAAUCCGUUUCCCGUAAGGCUGAGCUGUGAUGGCGAGCGAAAUAUAGUAGCGAAGUUCCUGAUUCCACACUGCCAAGAAAAGCCUCUAGCGAGGUGAGAGGUGCCCGUACCGCAAACCGACACAGGUAGGCGAGGAGAGAAUCCUAAGGUGAUCGAGAGAACUCUCGUUAAGGAACUCGGCAAAAUGACCCCGUAACUUCGGGAGAAGGGGUGCUCUGUUAGGGUGCAAGCCCGAGAGAGCCGCAGUGAAUAGGCCCAGGCGACUGUUUAGCAAAAACACAGGUCUCUGCGAAGCCG
rnacentral:rRNA from 1 species